AUCCAGCUGACGAGUCCUAAAUAAGACGAAACGUGAGUCUUGGAU
rnacentral:hammerhead_ribozyme from 1 species